rnacentral:lncRNA from 1 species
CUGCUCAAGAAUGUAAAGCCAUGUCAUUCAACUUGUUGUCAAUUGAUCCUACUGGUAAAUACAAAUACAUGUCACUUAAAAAGAUUAUGCCAUUAUAGUUUUCUGAAACAAGAAUACGCCAUAAUAGCAUAGUGCCAGAAUUAUUUCAGUCGCUAUACAGUUUGAUGUGAUUCACAUGCAUGAUAUUUUAAUGAGUAGGCAAAUCGAAAUAUAAGGCAAGUAGAAGGAAGAGGAACCAGGAGUGGUGAUGUUGUGCUCAUCUAUACCGUCGGUUGUGAGCUAUGCAGUGGCAGCUGCCCUACAGAGAGGAAUGGUUGUGGCCCGGGAACAUGGCGCCUCAAAAUCAAUGUUAUAUGCUGUUGAGGAAGGGCGCCUCUGAUGGUCGCGCUGCAUCACCAUGUCAUCGCCAGUGCCGACAACGGGCGAACGCCGGGAGGGAGGUGGCACACCGCCGCAGGAGAGCGGAGUAGAGCACGGGACAACGUGAGGAGGGGGGCAACUUACCAAACCUCCCGCCAUGGUCACCCUCGAUUGGAUCCACCAUCCUGCACAUGUCGUCGUUGACGUCCUACGCCAGUGCCUUCUUCAGGCACUGCAUAGCGGCCGCUCCACCUCACCAUUGCCUUGACACGGAGCAGCCAACCAGGACGGAGCGAUAAGGUGUUGGAGCACCUCCUUGUGUCAGCUUCAGCGCCCGCUUAGCCAAGGUGGCAACUCCCGGCGACGCCGUGGGUGGUCGGCUCUGGUGGCAUGCGAUGGCGGGCGUCGGCGAUCUGGGCAGGCGAAAGGUCGAGGCGCGGGGUGGCUCGCAGCGUCAAGCAUGUGGCACACUUGAACAACGGGGACGCCGGGACUCCAGCACCUGAACGACGUGAGGCCGCGAGCUCAUGGUCGAGAGCAAUGGCAUUGGCCCAAGAUGACGGCAACGUCGACGAUGUGCAGCCGCGGUCUGAGUUUAGCCUACCGCGCGGAGGUACGCCGCCUUCCUUCCUCUCCUCCGUCAUGGCCUUUGAUCGUGGUGGGGGCGACGGGAGUGAAUUUUGGAGCUUGUUGGUGGGACUACGCCGCCUUCCCUUCCUCUCCUCCGUCAUGGCCUCUGCUUGUGGUGGGUGCGACGGGAGAGAAUUUUGAAGCUUGGUGGUGGGACGAGGAGGCGGCG